rnacentral:rRNA from 1 species
GCGGCCUAUCAGCUUGUUGGCGAGGUAACGGCUCACCAAGGCAACGACGGGUAGCUGGUCUGAGAGGAUGGCCAGCCACAUUGGGACUGAGAUACGGCCCAGACUCCUACGGGAGGCAGCAGUGGGGAAUCUUGCGCAAUGGCCGAAAGGCUGACGCAGCGACGCCGCGUGUGGGAUGAAGCAUUUCGGUGUGUAAACCACUGUUGCCCGGGACGAACAGCGCUUUUCGAGGCGCCUGACGGUACCGGGUGAGGAAGCACCGGCUAACUCCGUGCCAGCAGCCGCGGUAAUACGGAGGGUGCGAGCGUUGUCCGGAAUCAUUGGGCGUAAAGGGCGCGUAGGUGGCCUGUUAAGCGUGCGGUGAAAGCUCGGGGCUCAACCCCGAGUCGGCCGUGCGAACUGGGAGGCUCGAGCACUGUAGAGGCAGACGGAAUUCCGGGUGUAGCGGUGGAAUGCGUAGAGAUCCGGAAGAACACCGGUGGCGAAGGCGGCCUGCUGGGCAGUAGCUGACACUGAGGCGCGACAGCGUGGGGAGCAAACAGGAUUAGAUACCCUGGUAGUCCACGCCGUAAACGAUGGGCACUAGGCGCUUGGGGGAGCGACCCUCCGAGGGCCGGCGCUAACGCAUUAAGUGCCCCGCCUGGGGAGUACGG